rnacentral:rRNA from 1 species
GUUAUCCGGAAUCAYUGGGCGUAAAGCGUCYGUAGGUGGUUUAAUAAGUCAACUGUUAAAUCUUGAAGCUCAACUUCAAAAUGGCAGUGGAAACUAUUAGACUAGAGUAUAGUAGGGGUAAAGGGAAUUUCCAGUGGAGCGGUGAAAUGCGUAGAUAUUGGGAAGAACACCGAUGGCGAAGGCACUUUACUGGGCUAUUACUGACACUCAGAGACGAAAGCUAGGGGAGCAAAUGGGAUUAGAUACCCCAGUAGUCCUAGC